UACGUAGGUGGCGAGCGUUGUCCGGAUUUAUUGGGUUUAAAGGGUGCGUAGGCGGCUUUGUAAGUCAGUGGUGAAAUACUCCAGCUUAACUGGAGGGGUGCCAUUGAUACUGCGGAGCUUGAGUACAGAUGAGGUAGGCGGAAUUGACGGUGUAGCGGUGAAAUGCAUAGAUAUCGUCAAGAACACCGUUAGCGAAGGCGGCUUACUGGGCUGUAACUGACGCUGAUGCACGAAAGUGUGGGGAUCAAACAGG
rnacentral:rRNA from 1 species